AUGCGCCCCGGGGCCAGUCCCGCGCGACCGACGCGGGGUCGAGGGGCGCCGAAGAGGGGGUCAAACGCUGCAGCUCUGGCCCCGCCCGGACCCCCAAACCUGCCUAGCUGCCCGCUUGGAUGGGAAGGAAAAAAAAGAAAAAGCAAAACUGUUUGUUGUUUGCGUUUUUAAAAGCAGCCCUGCCUUUGUUUCUGGCGGAUUCGCUGGUUUCCAGGCGUCGAAGGCGGGGUGCCUGGUGGGGGUGGGGGGCAGGGACACGUCAGCCCGCGCGGUCCCAAAUGUUUUCUGAGCGCCAGGCGCUGGGUCGCGUCCGGGACGCCGAGGGGACGCGGAACACCCGCUUUGCCCUCCAGCAGGCCCGGCCUGGGACGGUCUAACGAGGCCCUGGGGCUGACCUGGCUGCCUGAAGCCCUCAGCCGGACCUUCCCAUGGGGGGCGGGGGUGACUUUUUUCAGGUGAUGAACAGGGGUCCCCCGUCCCCACACACACCUCCUGAGUUGCCUGGUCCCUUCCCCUCAUAUCACCUUCUCCAGAUUCUAACCGGCAGAGGACACAGAGGGAGAAGUGAAAUCUAGGCAAACCCCAGGCUCCCUCUCCACUCCCUGUUCACCAGAAAACUGAAACAGUCCACACCCCCCCACACAAAAAAAGUUGAGGGAACCUAAAUGUUUCAUAAACAAAAGCCACUGUGCAACAACUUGUUUAUGUGGAAGCCUGGCUGCAGCCUUGCACGUCUGAGGCUGUGUGUGUGUGUGUGUGUGUGUGUGUGUGUGUGUGUUUUGGAGGGAGGGAGGGGACACGUCUCAGGCUGUUUGUGCAGGAUUUUUUUUUUUCCCUCUUCGGAUUUUGUUUUUAAUAAGGGUCAGAGGUCUGGGCUUCUGUGGGGAAGGAGAAAGGGUCACCUCGGAUGGACAGACCAGGAGCUCUCAGGAGGACAGGGGCAGAGCGCUGGACCAAGAAGCGGGAGACCAGGUCGUAUGUGACCCCGGGGAAAUGACCUCCCAAUGUUCCUCACCCCAGUUGAAGUGCCUUAGAAGACUCAGGCAAUGGCACCCCACUCCAGUACUCUUGCCUGGAAAAUCCCAUGGAUGGAGGAGCCUGGUGGGCUGCAGUCCAUGGGGUCGCUGAGGGUCGGACACGACUGAGCGACUUUACUUUCACUUUUCACUUUCAUGCAUUGGAGAAGGAAAUGGCAACCCACUCCAGUGUUCUUGCCUGGAGAAUCCCAGGGACGGGGGAGCCUGGUGGGCUGCCGUCUAUGGGGUCGCACCGAGUUGGACACGACUGAAGCGACUUAGCAGCAGUAGCAGGAGCAGAAGACUCAGGAGACCUCCCAUUUUGGGGUCGUUACUAUUACUUUUGUGGUCAUGUUGUUACAGUGAAGGGAGCUGCUCUAGAGCAACUGGCUUUGGGAGGUGUUCAGUACGGUUGUGAGAGUUGGACCAUAAAGAAUGCUGAGCGCCGCAGAAUUGAUGCUUUCAAACUGUGGUGCUGAAGAAGACUCUUGAGAGUCCCUGGGACAGCAAGGAGAUCAAACCAUUCAAUCCUAAAAGAAAUCAACCCUGAAUAUUCAUUGGAAGGACUGACACUGAAGCUAAAGCUCCAAUACAUUGGCCUCCUGAUUCGAAGAGCGGACCCAAUGAAAAAGACCCUGAUGCUGGGAAAGAUUGAAGGCAGGA
ensembl:lncRNA